GGAAGAACUCGCCCUGCUUUCAAUUACGAUUCCAAAUCUUCUCAACACCAUCGACUUUUAUGAAGAAGGUGUUUACGCAAACAAUUGCAGCCGAGAUUGGUGGUGUCCGUGGCCAAUAGAGCGUGUGGAUGUUCCACAACAGUCUAAUCAAGGCGAUUGUGGCAUGUUUGUGUUGAAGUACAUUGAGCUUUUGAGCGCUGAGAUUCCGUUAGCUACUUGCACCUCGCAGAACAUGCCCUUUUUUCGAUUGAAAUUGGCUGCAGAGAUAACACAGGGAGAUGCUUACAUGCCAUGAUAUUGGUUGAACUUGGUUUAGGUACAUGAUGAUUAAAUAGGUUUUGGGAAUGUCCAAUUUCAAACUCAUGUAAAUACACAAUAGAGACCUACGGGUCCUUUUCGAAUUCUACCUCUGCUCCUCUAUUCUUCUUCGUCUUUCUCAAUCUUAGUGUAUUUUUGUACA